UACGUAGGUGGCUAGCGUUGUUCGGAAUUACUGGGCGUAAAGCGCGCGUAGGCGGCUAUUCAAGUCAGGGGUGAAAUCCCGGGGCUCAACCCCGGAACUGCCUUUGAAACUGGAUGGCUAGAAUCCUGGAGAGGCGAGUGGAAUUCCGAGUGUAGAGGUGAAAUUCGUAGAUAUUCGGAAGAACACCAGUGGCGAAGGCGACUCGCUGGACAGGUAUUGACGCUGAGGUGCGAAAGCGUGGGGAGCAAACAGG
rnacentral:misc_RNA from 1 species